AAACGUCCGCCCGAUAAGCUGUAAGCCGCAGCAUCGGAAGCGAGUCUUGCGUGUGGUAUGGUAACGUGCUACACGAAGCGUAGACAGCAUGGUUGCAGGGAUAGUGAUUGAGCACCGAAAGACUAUAAAUCCAAAGGACGACGUAGUUGACAGUACGGAAGUCGAUAUAUCUGCCUUCGUUAUGGCGAGAUGGCAGAUGCUUUGGCGGUGUCGGAAGGAGCU
rnacentral:ncRNA from 1 species